rnacentral:rRNA from 1 species
CGGCAGCGCGGACUUNCGGUCCUGGCGGCGAGUGGCGAACGGGUGAGUAAUAUAUCGGAACGUGCCCAGUAGCGGGGGAUAACUACUCGAAAGAGUAGCUAAUACCGCAUACGCCCUACGGGGGAAAGGGGGGGAUCGCAAGACCUCUCACUAUUGGAGCGGCCGAUAUCGGAUUAGCUAGUUGGUGAGGUAAAGGCUCACCAAGGCGACGAUCCGUAGCUGGUUUGAGAGGACGACCAGCCACACUGGGACUGAGACACGGCCCAGACUCCUACGGGAGGCAGCAGUGGGGAAUUUUGGACAAUGGGGGAAACCCUGAUCCAGCCAUUCCGCGUGUGCGAUGAAGGCCUUCGGGUUGUAAAGCACUUUUGGCAGGAAAGAAAUCGCAUGGAUUAAUACUCUGUGUGGAUGACGGUACCUGCAGAAUAAGCACCGGCUAACUACGUGCCAGCAGCCGCGGUAAUACGUAGGGUGCAAGCGUUAAUCGGAAUUACUGGGCGUAAAGCGUGCGCAGGCGGUUCGGAAAGAAAGGUGUGAAAUCCCAGGGCUUAACCUUGGAACUGCACUUUUAACUACCGAGCUAGAGUAUGUCAGGGGGGGGUGGAAUUCCNCGUGUANCAGUG